AUACGGGGGGUGCAAGCGUUAAUCGGAAUUACUGGGCGUAAAGCGCGCGUAGGCGGUUUGCUCAGUCGGAUGUGAAAGCCCAGGGCUCAACCUGGGAACUGCAUUCGAUACUGUCAGACUAGAAUAUGGUAGAGGGUAGUGGAAUUCCUGGUGUAGCGGUGAAAUGCGUAGAUAUCAGGAGGAACAUCAGUGGCGAAGGCGGCUACCUGGACCAAUAUUGACGCUGAGGUGCGAAAGCGUGGGGAGCAAACAGGAUUAGAUACCCUAGUAGUCC
rnacentral:rRNA from 1 species